UCGAGCGAACGGACGAGAAGCUUGCUUCUCUGAUGUUAGCGGCGGACGGGUGAGUAACACGUGGAUAACCUACCUAUAAGACUGGGAUAACUUCGGGAAACCGGAGCUAAUACCGGAUAAUAUUUUGAACCGCAUGGUUCAAAAGUGAAAGACGGUCUUGCUGUCACUUAUAGAUGGAUCCGCGCUGCAUUAGCUAGUUGGUAAGGUAACGGCUUACCAAGGCAACGAUGCAUAGCCGACCUGAGAGGGUGAUCGGCCACACUGGAACUGAGACACGGUCCAGACUCCUACGGGAGGCAGCAGUAGGGAAUCUUCCGCAAUGGGCGAAAGCCUGACGGAGCAACGCCGCGUGAGUGAUGAAGGUCUUCGGAUCGUAAAACUCUGUUAUUAGGGAAGAACAUAUGUGUAAGUAACUGUGCACAUCUUGACGGUACCUAAUCAGAAAGCCACGGCUAACUACGCGCCAGCAGCCGCGGUAAUACGUAGGUGGCAAGCGUUAUCCGGAAUUAUUGGGCGUAAAGCGCGCGUAGGCGGUUUUUUAAGUCUGAUGUGAAGGCCCACGGCUCAACCGUGGAGGGUCAUUGGAAACUGGAAAACUUGAGUGCAGAAGAGGAAAGUGGAAUUCCAUGUGUAGCGGUGAAAUGCGCAGAGAUAUGGAGGAACACCAGUGGCGAAGGCGACUUUCUGGUCUGUAACUGACGCUGAUGUGCGAAAGCGUGGGGAUCAAACAGGAUUAG
rnacentral:rRNA from 1 species